rnacentral:rRNA from 1 species
GGCGAGCGGUCGCGUAACACGUAAGCAACCUGCCCUGAAGUGGGGGACAACAUCCCGAAAGGGGUGCUAAUACCGCAUGUGGUCACGAGUCGGCAUCGGCUUGUGUCUAAAGAUUUAUCGCUUCAGGAUGAGCUCGCGGCCUAUCAGCUUGUUGGUGAGGUAAUGGCUCACCAAGGCGACGACGGGUAGCCGGCCUGAGAGGGUGACCGGCCACACUGGAACUGAGACACGGUCCAGACUCCUACGGGAGGCAGCUGUGGGGAAUCUUGUGCAAUGGGCGAAAGCCUGACACAGCCACGCCGCGUGCGGGAAGAAGGCCUUCGGGUCGUAAACCGCUUUCAGCAGGAACGAAAAUGACGGUACCUGCAGAAGAAGGAGCGGCCAACUACGUGCCAGCAGCCGCGGUGACACGUAGGCUCCAAGCGUUGUCCGGAUUUAUUGGGCGUAAAGAGCUCGUAGGCGGUUCAGCAAGUCGGGUGUGAAAACUAUGGGCUUAACCCCAGACCUGCAUUCGAUACGGGCGAGCUUGAGUAUGGUAGGGGAGUCUGGAAUUCCUGGUGUAGCGGUGGAAUGCGCAGAUAUCAGGAGGAACACCAAUGGCGAAGGCAGGACUCUGGGCCAUUACUGACACUGAGGAGCGAAAGCGUGGGGAGCGAACAGGAUU